ensembl:miRNA mdo-mir-12308a mdo-mir-12308a
AGUGGAAAGAGCAUUGGAUUUGAAGUUUGAGUGCCUGAGUUCAAAUCCGUGCUCUGACACUUA